rnacentral:rRNA from 1 species
UACGAAGGGGGCUAGCGUUGCUCGGAUUGACUGGGCGUAAAGGGCGCGUAGGCGGUUCGUACAGUCAGACGUGAAAUUCCUGGGCUCAACCUGGGGGCUGCGUUUGAUACGUGCGGACUUGAGUGCGGAAGAGGGUCGUGGAAUUCCCGGUGUAGCGGUGAAAUGCGCAGAUAUCGGGAAGAACACCCGUGGCGAAGGCGGGUCUCUGGGCCGAUACUGACGCUGAGGAGCGAAAGCGUGGGGAGCGAACAGG